ACAGAAAUCGGAGACAGGAACUUAGCAGAACAAAGGAACCUUUCUUAUGAAAGUCGAUCUCUGAGUUUAGUCUGCCUUUUUUUUUUUUUUUUUUUUUUUGCUCUAGAGGGAAUGGCAUGCCCUCAAAACCAGCUCUGCCCAGCUUGUUACCAAGUUUGGCAUAUAAUUCUCAUGGCAAAUGCUGGGAUUAAUGCUGCGGUUGGGCAAGAAGAGUCUGUCAUGGUGGCAUUUAUCUCCUUUCAGACUCCUUCAGAUGCAGCUUUUGUAAAAAUUUUCUAGGGUGGGUAGCGGUCAGAGGAACUGGAGCACCAAGACCAGGCUGUCGCUACCAGGAAAGAAGCGCCGAAGCCACCGCAACGCACUAUACAAAAGGAGGCUUUCUUCACUCCUCUGGUCCAUGUGGUUAGCAUAGAAAUAGUUUAUUGUGAGAGUCUCUCAGCCACAGGUCUUUCUAAAACAUAAUUGUACCCUCCAGGGAAACCAAAAUAAAUACCAGCCUAAUAAACUUCAGAUUCUCAAAAAUAAGUUAUCCGAUUGCAUUUCUGUAGCUGAAGAAAAACAUCAGGGGUUGGCACGAGUUUCUCACUCUGCUUUGAAUUAUUUCCCAAGCUGCCCUGUCGCAGCUCAGCCCUAAAAUGGAAGAAAAUACUUUAUCAUUCGAAGAAUAACAAACAGAGUAGGAAAGUACAGGUCUUCGGAAGAGAGGCAGGAGUGAAUUCUUGUCCACAACUUCUGGUUUUCUCAGAGUAAGAUGGCUCCGUCAACAGUCAUUUGUAGCCGGCGUUAAUGGAGUUUGUCUUCUAGUAGAAGAUUCCACACAGGCUUCCCUGAAAUUGUAACACUAGCCCUGAAUUGCUCGUCCUUGUGCACCGCCUUUGCAGUUUUGCUAAUCCUUUGGUUCCUGGGUUGGACCUCAAUUGCAGCCUAUGUUCUGCCUUCAGCUGCACAAAUGUGGUGGGUGUUGUUCCAAUUUCAGUUUCUCACAGCUGACUACUUGAAUUUAUCUUCUGCCUUCUCAGUUUGCAUCUGUUGUUACUGUCUUGUCCAGUUUUCUUCACCGUGGCUACCCCCAUGGUGCCUUUGACUAGCCAAGAUUUUAUUUGAUUUGUCUAUUUUAUUAUUUUUUUUCUUGUAUUCAGGUGUCUGUGUGCAUGCGUAUAAGUAUAUUUAUCUGGUGCCCUCCAGAGCCAGAAGAAGGCAUCAAUUCCCUGAAGUCGGAAUUACAGGCAGUACUGAGUCUCCUAACGUGAGUGCUGGAAACCAAACUCAUAUCCUUUGCAAGAGCAGCAAGUACUCCUCACCUCUGAGCCAUGUCUCCAGCCUCUAUUUGAUCAUUUUUAAAUGCAUUGUUAGAUAGUAAGGAAAAGAGACAUCAUGAACAGCCAUGUAGCUCCCAGCUUGAAGAGUGAUAAUGUUCUCAGUGGCCUUGUAUCUGUGGCAUUUAUAGGUACACCUCCUCCUCACAGCUCAGGGGUGUGUUGGUAUUUGGGACAAGGUUCUGUGGUUCUUUAUAAUUUUUUUCACAUAGAGAACAAAUGAUAUGUAAUUUGUUUAUAUCAUGAAAAACUGACCUCUACCCAAUGUAGUUUUUAUUUGGUUAGUUGGUUUGUGUGUGUGUGUGUAUGUGUUUGAUUUUGUCCUAUUUUGUUUUUCUGGCUUUCAGUUAAUUGUGUCUCAGGCAGCCCUCCUGAGCAAGAACCGAAUCACCUCAGUGUGGGAUCGGUUGGAGUAAAACUGACUUUUCUAAAAUAUUUUUCUUCACUUUUAAACGGUGGUAAAUGGAUGACUUUUGGUUGUAGUUCACUUGGUAAAGUGUGUGUGUGUGUGUGUGUGUGUGUGUGUGUGUGUUUGUGUGUGCCUAGCACAAAGCCCUGAGUUCAGUUCCCAGAACUACAUAAGUUGGGAAUGGUGAGUCACUCAUGUCAUACCAACACUUGGAAGCUGGAGACAUGAGGACAGAGAAUCCAAGGUUAUCCUUGCCUAUGAGGUAAAUUCAAGGCCAGCCUUGGCUAGAUGAGACCCUAUCCUCCAUUUUUUUUAAGAGCACAUUCAUAUGGCAUUGGAAACUAAUUAAUGCUUAGUUAAUGUAGCCUCCAUCUCAAGGCAUGUCUUGCCCUGUCUCUUUCAGCCACUUAAGUAUCAAUACAGGCUGUGUCCUUCUCCUGUCAAAUGGUGGAGGACCGGACACAGCUGCUGUGAGGCAGGAGCCCGAGUCCACUAUGUCCGUAUUUUCAUUUGUCAGGAAAUGGGAGAGAGAUGGGGCCAAUGGUUUGAUAAAUUAUAUCAAAAAAUAGUCCCUUCAUGCUAAUGGAGUGUGAAGAAGCUGAUGUACUGGAGAUGAUCUAUAAUAUUUCAUAUUUCUCUGAGGAGAAAAAAUGAUAAACCUGAUGAUGUGUGAUUUAUUCAUGUUUCAUCAGAUGAGGGGGGAAAAAAAAACUCUUCAAAUCAACUGUCUGCUUCUCACUCCCAGAAGCGGCCAUGUGAGUUUUGUGCUGGGCCCAGAGGCUAGGGUUGUUUUGAGAACUGCUCCUGAUUAAGCCCCACACCUCUGGCAGACAGUUGGGAGAGGGUAAUUAUGCCAGCUUCCACACCAGUUCAUCAUUGCUGUUUUAUGGCUCUCCAGCACCAGGUGACAAAUGUGUUAAUUAUUACAUUUCUGAUCCAGAACUCUAGUGGCCUCUCCCUUCCCUCCUGGCUUUGGCCUUUAGUCAUUCCCAGCAGCUCUGCCCUGGACAGCAGUAACUUCUGCAAUCAAAGAGCUGCUCUCUGGAAGCUGCCAUGCUGAGAAGGACAUGGUUAUCAGGCCUGCUGUGUGCAGACUCUAGCCACAGGGGACCUGGUUAAUUCCCUUUCCUCUUCCUUCUGCCCAUCACCCUUUGGGUCAAGUGCUGCUCAGAGCCAGAAGCUCUGCUGGCUUCUUUAAUAACUGAAAAUGGCGCCCCUGACUGGGCCAUUUCACUCUAAAUAGCCCCCUGGAGGAGGCUGAAAACAGAGGUUGUCUUAGGCAAAGAGAUUUAACAGGUAGAAAUGUUGUUUCUCUUUUUGUCCUUUGUGUUUCCUCUCUUUUCCUUGGCCAUCCCUUUCCCUUGACCACCACCUACACUUCCUUCCCUGACUCUAACCCUUUCCUAACGCCUGCUAUGCCUAUUUUCCCAACAGUCCUAUUAAUUGUUUGCUAAGUUUGCUGAUGUGAUUACAUAGUGUGGAUUCUAAAAAUCGUUAUGGAUCUUUGCAAAGGAAACAACUUACAUUAGAAUGCCCUUAGUCACCUUGUCCUAGUUAAGAGUUUCUGUUGCUAAUAUGAAACGCCCUGAGUAAAGCAACAUGGAAAGGAGUUUAUUUGGCUCACACUUCUAUAUCACUGUUCAUCAUUGAAGGAAGUUAGGACAGGAACUCAAACAAGGCAGGAAACUGGAGGCAUGAGCUGAGACAGAAGCCGUGGAGGAAGGGGUGCUGCUUACUGGCCUGCUCAGCCUGUUUUCUUAAAGAACCCAGGACUACAAGCCUGUGGAUGGUACCACCCACAAUGAGGUGGGCUUUGUCACAUCAAUAACUUUUUAAGAAAAUGCUCUACAGCUGGGUCUUAUGGAGACAUUUUCUCAAUUGAUGUUCCCUCCUUUCAGAGAACUCUAGCUUGUAUCAAGUUGACACAAAACUAGCCUGGGCACACCUUUUAUAAAGAAACAUGGAUGUGGUUGAGAUUUGAUGGAGUUCAGUGGGAGGGCCUUAAGGUCUCUGGACAGUCUUGUGAGUGGCCAUUGUAUUUUGUCAAGGUGAAUCAGCCCUAUAAAUAGAUCAUCAGGACUGCCCACUUCCCAGUUCUGUAUAUGAUCGGAAACUAUAUUAAGCUCCUUCAAUGUGGUAUAUUUUCCUCGGAUGCUAUCACGGGUCAUUUCAGAAAAACGACCUUCACUAUAUACGUUGAUUUCAGGCCUUUGAGUACUUAUGUAGGCCAGGCUUCCCUUGAACUCCCUGGGUAAAUGCUUGUUCUUCCUGUCUUUGUUUUCCAUUGGCAAGUUAACAGGUGUGUGCCCACAUGCAGAGCAAACUCUGGGCUUGAUGUAAACUAAGCCAGUAUUGUAUCAAGUAAGUUCCAUCCUUAGCCUUGGACAUUUUCUUGUCAAUCAGAACGAGGUGUUGUUUACUCUGGAUCUGGCCUGGUACAGAUGGUUAUAAGCUGGGAGCACAAGCUUGGUCCCAUGCCAGAACAAGUGGUCUUAGCCACUUUCCAGCCUCGAAUUAGAAAUGUCUUAAAGACAAAAAAGAAAACAGCUAUCUCACUAUAGUCUCUUAUUGGUCUAAAAGUUAUGUCUACCCAUAAAGAAGUUUGUUUUUCAGGGACAAAAGAAAGAAGAAGAAAAAAAAAAAACAACCCUUUUUUUCUAUCCAUCUUGGAUUCACGGUUUUGAGGCCCUGGUCCUAAAAAACAGAUUAACAAGAUAAAAAGGGCACAGGUUCACUUAAUAAUUUCCAUGUGAAAGGGAAACCUGAAGAGGCUUCCUAAUCUAUCUUGGGGUUAACUCAUUUUGAAACAGGUUCUCAUGUAGCCCAGGCUGGCCUCAAACUUUACCUGUUCCCGUGUAUGACCUUGAAUUUCUGAUCGUUCUGCUUUCGACUCCCUGCUGAGGUGAUCCACCUGUGUACAUAUGCUUGUACAGUGCUGGGGACGGAACCUAGGUAUUAAUGAAUGCUAUGCAAGUGCUCUAACAGCUGAGCCAUGUCCCAACCUUGACAUGUGAGUCUGAUGUAAGGUAGACAGUCUUGGAGAAAUUAGAAUGGACAGAGGGGUGAGGUGGGGUGUGUGUGAUCUACUCUCAGUGAUGUUGCAAGACCUGCUUGGUCCUUGGGUCUUUUCUGGGAUCAUUUCUCUUCCGAGGUAGGGAUGGGCCUUUCUUCUCAGCAUUCAAGGUGUUGUUCACAAGAGGGUCUCAUGUCUCCUUCAUUGGAAGUUCAGAAAAUUCUCUUUAGGUUUUUAUGGCUUGCUGCAUAGAGGAUAGGGAGUGCAGAAGGUCAGAGAGCUCUUCCUGCUUCUGUUAUCCCUGUGUGAGGGUGAUACAUUUUAGGGGUAUGGUAGUAUGCCCUAACCUCUAUCAGUUUAAACACAGAGAAUUCUCUGCCUCAGACCCCGGAUAUCUCACUGGAGGUAUUAGACUUUAUUCAGGUAAUCUAACUGCUUCGUUUCUUAAUGUUCAGUGGCAUUAAGAGCAUUCAAUAAUGAAUGUGUAAGUACUGUUUUUGCAGUGUCCUUUAAAGUGCACUGUACUUAACUUACACUUGUAGGAAUUGUAUUGGAAAGGUCUUUAAUUAGAAGUCUCAUUUUCUCAGUUGCUCUUUGUGGGAACCAUCUUCCCUGAUUGUAGCAGAGCCCCUUCAUUAAAAAAAAAAAUCACAUGGCAAGAAUUGGAGCCAGGUCAGCUACAUCCUGAUGACACAAUGAAGUUUACAUUUAUUGUCGUCUCCUGACUCGAACAGAAGAACGUGGCUGACUGACCUGGCUCUUGCUUGUUCCUUGUUUUACGAAUAUGACUUGACAUUGUCUUUGUAUAUGCACAUCUGUGAAUGAAUGAAUACAUAUGGGAAACAAGCAAUCCGAACACAGAAUUCUUCUGUAAGACUAGACAGGACUUUUGUUCUAUUACAAGACUUGAAGCUUCUUUAAGUCUCUCUCUCUUUUGAUCCAAAGUCUUUCUAAAGCAUAGAAGAAAUUCCCUCACACUGAUCUAAUGGUGGCAGAGAAGGACCUGGCGGCUUUGUCUUUUUUAAAAGUCAGAAGCGUGUCCCCUGAGGGAACCUGCAAGUCCCUUCUCUCAACAGUAUUAAUUUUUUCUUUUUCAUUUUUUUUACAGUUGAGGUGGAUGAUUCUACACGGGUUGCUUUCAUUCAUUGCUUUCUUUUCAAGCCAGCAUUUGGCAUAAUCUACACUUAGAUCAGAAACAUUAAUCCUAGCUAUACUCCAUACGUAGAUAUGAGGCAGGUUUGCCACUGAUUUAAGUAUUCAAUUCGUGAUCAUGGACAUUGUAGUUCAUUUCUUAAAGAUUAAAAACAAAACAAAACAAAACAGAAAACCCUGUGUGUGUUUGCACUCAUGUAUGCACACCCAUGUCACGUAUUUACAGACCAAAAGAAGGCUCAGGUCUUGUAGACCUGGAGUUGCACGCGGUUGUGAGUGUUUUAAGUUUUAAUAACCUUGAAUCCAACCUGCACCAUUUUAACACUUUAGGGUCUUCCCACACGAGGAAAUGGAAGCAGUUAGAGUUAGUUGAUAGGUAUGCCAUGUGAAGUCUUGCAUUGUUCUUGAAAUAAUGUCAGAUCUAAAACAGAAUGGCGCUCAUACACCCUGCCUGCCAACUCAGGAAUACUGUGAGACUGACAGACCUAUGCUCAGACCAAAUAAGGAAGCAGUGUUGUAUAAACCAUUUGAAAAUUCACAUGUAAAAUGCAGCCAGGUAGGCCUGUAAUCCGUUACUUGGGAGGCAGAGGCAGGAAGAUUACAAGUUCAAGGCCAGCCUUGGCAACUCUAUAAGACAUAGUCUCAAACAAGGAAAUAAUCCACUUCUAAGAAAUGAGAAUUUUUAAAAACAUCAUGGUCCAGUUUGAAUGAGAUUACUAAAGAUAAUGCCUAAAUACAAUUUUAAAAAAUAGACGGUGGUAAAAGGCAAUUUAUCUUUCACUUUGACUUGACCAUUAUUGAGCUGUGUCUCCAUUUGGGUGUGGUGGUGCAUGCUUGCAAUCUCAUCACCGAGAAGGUAGAGGAAGGUUGAUGAAAAGGUCAAGGUCAUUCUUAAUCAUUUAGUGAAUUUGAGACUAGUCUGGGCUACAUGGGAUCAAGAAAAUUC
rnacentral:lncRNA from 1 species